rnacentral:guide_RNA from 1 species
AUAUAUACACAAGAAAUUGAGUAGACGGCUAGAACAGAUAAAUAAU